CGUAGGGUGCGAGCGUUAAUCGGAAUUACUGGGCGUAAAGCGUGCGCAGGCGGUUUAGUAAGACAGGCGUGAAAUCCCCGGGCUCAACCUGGGAACUGCGCUUGUGACUGCUAAGCUAGAGUACGGCAGAGGGGGUGGAAUUCCACGUGUAGCAGUGAAAUGCGUAGAGAUGUGGAGGAACACCAAUGGCGAAGGCAGCCCCCUGGGUCGAUACUGACGCUCAUGCACGAAAGCGUGGGUAGCAAACAGGAUUAGAUACCCUGGUAGUCCGCGCCCUAAACGAUGUCAACUAGGUGUUGGGAGGGUAAAACCUUUUAGUACCGGAGCUAACGCGUGAAGUUGACCGCCUGGGGAGUACGGCCGCAAGGUUA
rnacentral:rRNA from 1 species